rnacentral:rRNA from 1 species
UAGGGAAUCUUCCGCAAUGGGCGAAAGCCUGACGGAGCAACGCCGCGUGAGUGAUGAAGGUCUUCGGAUCGUAAAACUCUGUUAUUAGGGAAGAACAUAUGUGUAAGUAACUGUGCACAUCUUGACGGUACCUAAUCAGAAAGCCACGGCUAACUACGUGCCAGCAGCCGCGGUAAUACGUAAGUGGCAAGCGUUAUCCGGAAUUAUUGGGCGUAAAGCGCGCGUAGGCGGUUUUUUAAGUCUGAUGUGAAAGCCCACGGCUCAACCGUGGAGGGUCAUUGGAAACUGGAAAACUUGAGUGCAGAAGAGGAAAGUGGAAUUCCAUGUGUAGCGGUGAAAUGCGCAGAGAUAUGGAGGAACACCAGUGGCGAAGGCGACUUUCUGGUCUGUAACUGACGCUGAUGUGCGAAAGCGUGGGGAUCAAACA